GGUUGAUCCUGCCAGUAGUCAUAUGCUUGUCUCAAAGAUUAAGCCAUGCAUGUCCAAGUAUAAGCGUUUAUACAGUGAAACUGCGAAUGGCUCAUUAUAUCAGUUAUAAUUUACUUGAUGAUACAUUACCAGAUGGAUAACCGUGGUAAUUCUAGAGCUAAUACAUGCCUUUUGGGCCACCUUUUAGGGGGGCCAGCAUUUAUUAGGUAAAAGCCGGGCGCAGCCCGUAUGGGCGGCGUGAGGAGGAAUCAUGAUAACUUGGCGGAUCGCAGGCUUUUGGGCGGCGACGUAU
rnacentral:rRNA from 1 species